rnacentral:rRNA from 1 species
AGGACAAACGCUGGCGGCGUGCAUAAAACAUGCAAGUCGAACGGACUUCAGUCCGCAAGGACUGAAGUGAGUGGCGAACGGCUGAGUAACACGUAGGUGACCUGCCCCGAAGUUUGGGAUAACACCUCGAAAGAGGUGCUAAUACCGGAUGUGACCACCGAUUCAUUUCGGUGCUUAAAGUCGCAAGACGCUUUGGGAGGGGCCUGCGGCGGAUUAGCUAGUUGGUGUGGUAACGGCACACCAAGGCUUCGAUCCGUAGCUGGUCUGAGAGGAUGGCCAGCCAGACUGGGACUGAGACACGGCCCAGACUCCGUACGGGAGGCAGCGAGUUAGGAAUUUGGGCAAGUGGGCGAAAGCCUAGACCAGCAACGCCGCGUGGCGAAGAGGCUUCGGGUCGUAAGCCUUUCGAGGGAAGAGUAGUGACGGUACCUGGAAUCGAGCCCGGACUAACUACGUGCC